AGAAAUCAGUCCGAGAUCUCGGAUGGAAAGAGAAUUGGCCAAUCGCAUUCGAAUAAUUUAGUCAAUUAACCAAUGCGAUUGAUCAAUUCUCUUUCCAUCCAAGAUCUCGGACCGAUUUUUAGUAUCAUGGACACAAGGCUUUAAGUUUUUCUAUGUGCCAUGGACUUAAUUGAAUUAAUUGCAUCGUGUGCCAUUGCCUUGUUUCAUUAGGUUAAGUUGCGAGACUGAGAACCACGCGAGAAACUGCGCGUGAACACGUGUUAUGUUUGUGGCGGGAAAACUCGCGUCUCGCACUCAUGUUGACGCACUCACUUUACUAUAAUCCUGAAUCCUGCGUUGACUCAAAUUUCACGAUGAUUGAGGAUCGGAGAAACGUAAAUAGGUGAACUCGGAGCAAGAUGGGCAAGGUUAUAUCUACAUGUUUAGAACGAUAAUGGGAUCGGAAGCCUCACAUCGAAUUUUCGUGAGAGAUUCACUUGCAGAAUCACUUAAAGAAUCCUUUCACUGAAUUCGAAUAAUAAAUUUGAUCGUUGUAGUCAAUGCCGCAUUCUUGUCGCAAAGCACGUUGGAAUGCUAUUCAAACAAUUCAAACAGAGAUAUUGACAAGUCUAUUAUUGAUAAUAGUAUUGACAACCUUUCUUUACAGUUCCAGUGCGUGUUCAUUCCUCGCGAUUGUGUGACUCGAACUUUGAUACGCGGAACGAUAAAAAAAAA